AUUGAACGCUGGCGGCAGGCCUAACACAUGCAAGUCGAACGGACCCUUCGGGGUUAGUGGCGGACGGGUGAGUAACACGUGGGAACGUGCCUUUAGGUUCGGAAUAGCUCCUGGAAACGGGUGGUAAUGCCGAAUGUGCCCUUCGGGGGAAAGAUUUAUCGCCUUUAGAGCGGCCCGCGUCUGAUUAGCUAGUUGGUGAGGUAAUGGCUCACCAAGGCGACGAUCAGUAGCUGGUCUGAGAGGAUGACCAGCCACAUUGGGACUGAGACACGGCCCAAACUCCUACGGGAGGCAGCAGUGGGGAAUCUUGCGCAAUGGGCGAAAGCCUGACGCAGCCAUGCCGCGUGGAUGAUGAAGGUCUUAGGAUUGUAAAAUCCUUUCACCGGUGAAGAUAAUGACUGUAGCCGGAGAAGAAGCCCCGGCUAACUUCGUGCCAGCCGCCGCGGUAAAAC
rnacentral:rRNA from 1 species